GACGAGCGGCGGACGGGUGAGUAAUGCCUGGGAAUAUGCCUUGAUGUGGGGGAUAACCAUUGGAAACGAUGGCUAAUACCGCAUAAUGCCUACGGGCCAAAGAGGGGGAUCUUCGGACCUCUCGCGUCAAGAUUAGCCCAGGUGGGAUUAGCUAGUUGGUGAGGUAAUGGCUCACCAAGGCGACGAUCCCUAGCUGGUCUGAGAGGAUGAUCAGCCACACUGGAACUGAGACACGGUCCAGACUCCUACGGGAGGCAGCAGUGGGGAAUAUUGCACAAUGGGCGCAAGCCUGAUGCAGCCAUGCCGCGUGUGUGAAGAAGGCCUUCGGGUUGUAAAGCACUUUCAGUCGUGAGGAAGGUAGUUGCGUUAAUAGCGUAAUUAUUUGACGUUAGCGACAGAAGAAGCACCGGCUAACUCCGUGCCAGCAGCCGCGGUAAUACGGAGGGUGCGAGCGUUAAUCGGAAUUACUGGGCGUAAAGCGCAUGCAGGUGGUUUGUUAAGUCAGAUGUGAAAGCCCGGGGCUCAACCUCGGAAUUGCAUUUGAAACUGGCAGACUAGAGUACUGUAGAGGGGGGUAGAAUUUCAGGUGUAGCGGUGAAAUGCGUAGAGAUCUGAAGGAAUACCGGUGGCGAAGGCGGCCCCCUGGACAGAUACUGACACUCAGAUGCGAAAGCGUGGGGAGCAAACAGGAUUAGAUACCCUGGUAGUCCACGCCGUAAACGAUGUCUACUUGGAGGUUGUGGCCUUGAGCCGUGGCUUUCGGAGCUAACGCGUUAAGUAGACCGCCUGGGGAGUACGGUCGCAAGAUUAAAACUCAAAUGAAUUGACGGGGGCCCGCACAAGCGGUGGAGCAUGUGGUUUAAUUCGAUGCAACGCGAAGAACCUUACCUACUCUUGACAUCCAGAGAAGCCAGCGGAGACGCAGGUGUGCCUUCUGGAACUCUGAGACAGGUGCUGCAUGGCUGUCGUCAGCUC
rnacentral:rRNA from 1 species